UGGUCACGUGGCGCGCGACCCGGAGGCGGAACCCGCCGGCUUGGCGCAGAGCUUGGCUCCGGGAGCGCACCGAGGAGCCCGAGGAGGGCCUGCAGCGGCCCGGGGUGUCCCCGCGCCGCGCCCCGGCCAUGCGCGCCCGGGUCGCGCUGCUCGCGCUCCUGGCGGCGCUGCUGGCCGCUCCCCCAGCCGCCUUGGCCGAGGCCCCGCACUUGGUGCGCGUAGACGCAGCCCGCGUAGCGUGGCCCCUGCGCCCCUUCUGGAGGAGCACCGGCUUCUGCCCUCCACUGCCACACAGCCGGGCUGACCAGUAUGACCUCAGCUGGGACCAGCAGCUCAACCUGGCCUACGUGGGCGCCGUCCCUCAUGGUGGCAUUGAGCAGGUCCGGACUCACUGGCUGCUGGAGCUCAUUACGGCCAGGGGGUCAGCUGGGCAGGGCCUGCACUACAACUUCACCCAUCUGGACGGGUACCUGGACCUUCUCAGGGAGAACCAGCUCCUCCCAGGCUUUGAGCUGAUGGGCAGCCCCUCAGGACUCUUCACCGACUUUGAAGACAAGCAGCAGGUGUUUGAGUGGAAGGACCUGGUCUCCCUCCUGGCCCGGAGAUACAUCGGUAGGUAUGGACUGGAGCACGUUUCCAAGUGGAACUUCGAGACGUGGAAUGAGCCAGACCACCACGACUUUGACAACGUGUCCAUGACCGUGCAAGGCUUCCUCAACUACUACGACGCCUGCUCCGAGGGUCUCCGAGCGGCCAGCCCCACCCUGCGCCUGGGCGGCCCCGGGGACUCCUUUCACCCUCCGCCACACUCCCCGCUGUGCUGGGGCCUCCUGGGGCACUGUCACCACGGCACCAACUUCUUCACCGGGGAGGUGGGCGUGCGGCUGGACUACAUCGCCCUCCACAAGAAGGGCGCGGGCAGCUCCAUCGCCAUCCUGGAGCAGGAGAAGGCGGCCAUGCAGCAGAUACAGCAGCUCUUCCCCAAGUUCGCCGACACCCCCAUUUACAACGAUGAGGCAGACCCGCUGGUGGGCUGGUCCCUGCCGCAGCCGUGGAGGGCCGACGUGACCUACGCGGCCAUGGUGGUGAAGGUCAUCGCGCAGCACCAGAACUUGCUGGUGGCCAACGCCAGCUCCUCUAUCCGCUAUGCGCUCCUGAGCAAUGACAACGCCUUCCUGAGCUACCACCCGCACCCCUUCACCCAGCGCACGCUCACCGCGCGCUUCCAGGUCAACAACACGCGCCCGCCCCACGUGCAGCUGCUGCGCAAGCCGGUGCUCACCGCCAUGGGGCUGCUGGCUCUGCUGGACGAAGAGCAGCUCUGGGCCGAGGUGUCACAAGCAGGGGUGGUACAGGACAGCAACCACACUGUGGGGGUCCUGGCCAGUGCCCACUACCCCACAGGCCCCGCCGAUGCCUGGCGCGCCACAGUUCUGGUCUAUGCGAGCAACGACACCCGCGCCCACGCCAACCGCAGCGUCGCUUUGUCCCUGCGCCUGCACGGGGUGCCCCUGGGCCCGGGGCUUGUGUACGUCACCCUGUACUUGGACAACCAGCUCUGCAGCCCCCACGGCGAGUGGCAGCGCCUUGGCCGGCCAGUGUUCCCCUCACCAGAGCAGUUCCGGCGCAUGCGUGAGGCCGAGGACCCUGUGGCCACAGCGCCGCGCCCCUUCCCCGCCAGUGGCCGUCUGACGCUGCACCCCGAGCUCCCACUGCCCUCGCUGCUACUGGUGCACGUGUGCGCGCGCCCCGCGGAGCCGCCAGGCCAGGUGACCCAGCUCCGCGCUCUGCCCCUGACCCACAGGCAGCUGCUUUUGGUCUGGUCCGACGAGCGCAUUGGCUCCAAAUGCCUGUGGACGUAUGAGAUCCAGUACUCCCAGGAUGGUCAUGUGUAUGCUCCCAUCAGCCGGAAGCCAUCGACGUUUAACCUCUUUGUGCACAGUCCAGACACAGCCGUUGUUUCUGGCUCCUACCGGGUUCGAGCGGUGGACUACUGGACCCGGCCAGGCCCCUUCUCAAACCCUGUGUGGCACCUGGAGGUUCCUGCCCCCUGAGGGCCACCUCUGUCCAGUGACUGUGAGCCUCUGUUGAGCAGUGAACCCCGGGCAGCCAGGGGCCAAGCAAAGACACUGCACCUAGACCUCAGCCAUGCUUGCCAUCACCACGGGCUACAUGUCAUCUGUCAUUCGGCACCGACCUGGCAAGUUACACAGAGAACACGGAAGGGAUCCCCUGCGUCAUCAUGUGUCUGAUAUGGGGACCGAUCUGUGCAGCUUUCCCAUGGAGGGACCACCGGGGGGCACAGAGGGAUGUCCCAAUAGCCCCCCACCCAGGUCAGGGGACCAAUGUGGGGACGCUGCACAGGUUAUGUGGCCCCGUGUGACCAACAAUGAUGGUUCUCAGGUGUCUUGGGGUCAGCACAGGCUCAGGGCCAGUAGGCAGCAGCCCCCGGGAAGUCGGUGCUUCCCAGUCUGCAGGACAGUUACCUGAAGAGGGCACAGGGGCCCCUUCCAAUCUUGGGAACAUGCCAGCAGCUGCAUUGUGGGCUCCUCAGGGAUGCAGCCUCCCCGUCCGCAGUCUCACUGUGACAAGAACUGCCCAGUACACCCUCACUCAGUCUGCACGUGCUCCCAGCAGCGUCUCAUCUGCUGGGCCUUGCGUUAGUCGGCCAUCUCGUGUUUGACAAGGACCCCUGAGGGGCCAUGGCCUCAGCAACCGUGUGUGUGUGUGUGUGUGUGUGUGUGUGUGUGUGUGUGUGUG